rnacentral:lncRNA from 1 species
CUGGCAUUUCGUAAUUGGUGACAGCUCACAUGGACCAACUCAUCAUCGUCAUACCGAACCAAACCCUACACCGUUGAAUACUCCGUUGAAUACAUUUUAUAAUUCAGAAGGCAGACAAAAAUGACGACCUACACUAAAUAAAUACUUAAAAAUAAAUACUGCUGGAUUUCACUAGUGGGAAGAGAGAGAGAGGGAAAUGCUGAAAUUCUUGGAGUAGUAUACUAGAGAGAGAAAGGACGCUGUGAGUUAGUGUGUAAUUUUUUCCAAAUGGGAGAUGAGAAAUCGGAAAUUAUGGUGGGGGUAAUCGGGAACAGUAGUAGAGAAAGAGAUCGAGAGCUUUUGAUACCAGUGGCAGACUCCAUUGACCACCAUCACCAUCAUGUUGAUGACUCUUCAAAACCCUUAUCUUCCGCUUCCGCUUCUCACCAUAACUCAGGCCGCGAGGUAUGGUUCUAUGGAAUAAUUAUAUCAGGGCUAUAGGAGAGUUUUUUUUUUUUUUUUUUUUUUUAAUGGGUUUGAAGGAAAUAUUGGGUAAAAUCGUUCCUCUGUUGUUUGAUAUACAUAAUUGAGACUGUUGAAGAACUAAUUAUUUUUGGGUUCAUGAUGGGAAUUGUAUAGAAAUUUGCAGUAUUGGAUUAGAACAGAGUUACAUGAUAAUUCACAUAUGGACGAGGUGUAAAAAGAGAGUAGGAUUUUUUUUUUUUUUUUUUUUUUGGAAGAAACUCUGACCCAUCAUAUCUCAUCAGAUCAUGUAUAUAUAAAUCAUUAGAUACAACCGAUUGGAUUAAGAUUAUACUGACAGCUUAUUUGUUUAAUCUAAGAGUGAGGGGAGAGUUUAAUUUUGAUGGUUGGAAUAUCAAUACAUUCUUAAUUCUUAUCUUGCCUUGUUCUCAUGGAUUACUCCCCGAAUAGAUUGAAUCUCACUCCUCUCUCCUAAUCAGAAAUAGCAAACAUAAUCUAGUUUGCAACAGCUUAAUUUCGAAAAGAAACAAUUGCAAUUCAUAUGUUUACUUUUGCUUUUCUUUCGCAUUAAAUGCAAGUCAUUGCUUGGCAUAGUAGUAGGGAUUUUAAGCUUAUUUUUUCUACCUGUUAUAGCUCCUUGGUUAACAGCUAGUUCCAUGGUCAUUUAUAUUUCUUACCCUGCAUAGUGAUGAUAAUUAAUGUUAAUGUGCUUUCUGUAGCUGUGUUUUUGCAUGCACAAUCAGGCGAUGAGCCUCGUAGUAUCAAUAUUCAAAAAAAUCUCGUAUUCAAAUCUUCUUAUACCACAAGGUUCCUUAUAGUUUAUGAUUGAAUUUGUUUCAAGAGGAAACUUUCCAACAAUGAUAUGAUUGUAUUGUUUGUCCUAGUGGUUGCAUCUAAAUGUUAACUGUGGUCUGAAAAUACUGUAUUUUGCUGAUACUUUACAGACUUUUUACAAAGUUGUUAGGAGCUGGGCUUCGAAGAAGUUUAUGACUGGGUGGUGAGCACACUUAUCAUUCUAUUGAUCUGCUAUACGCUCUUUGAGCUUGAGAUAUAAUAAUGGCCAUUUAUUUAGCGAUCCAUCUGCACUAAAUAUAUGCAGUUUUUUAAUUUUUAUUAAUUUGGCAGGCGUUAGCUUAUUACCUUUUUGAAAUAGUCUCGCUUUUAUCACUUUUGUUGAGUAAUAAAGUAGGAUACUAAACAUGGACACCUAUUCAAGUACAUUGAUACACUAAUAAAUAGGAAAUUAUUUACUAAGAAGCACAGAUAUUGAUACGUAAUUUGGAUACAAUACAAUACGGAUACGUCGAUAUGAAUUUUUUGAAAAAAUUAGGAUACCCAAUAUGUUUUAUAAAAUUCAACAUAAUUUCCUUAAUAUAACAAAAUUAACACAUAAGUAUGAUAAUAAAAAUAAAAUAAAAUACUAAAGCACUUUAUUAGCAUGGUUUUUUAAAUCAUCAUCUAUUUUCAAUGAUAGAAUUAAUGUAACACAAUUUUAUAUGUAUUAUUUAUUUAAUACUAGUCAAUAUCAAUUUCCAAUAAUAAAAAUAUAUUCGUAAACUAUAACAUGAUUUCACAUGUAUUGAAAUAUUUAUAAUAUUGUGCAUUUCCAAUAAAAAGUCUAGUUGUUAAUUUUAAAACUCUAAUUGUGUAUUUUAAAUAAAUAUUAUUGAUAUUUAAUAAGUUAUUAAAAUAAUUUAAAAAAUAUUUAUUGUAUAUGUAUCGAAAAUUAUACAAAAAUGUAAAAUAACUAAAAAAUACGUAUUGGAUAUGUUUUGAAAAUUUAAAAAAUAUAAAAAUAUAUUAAAUAAUUUAAAAACAAGUAUCUGGUACGUAUCGGAAGGUAUCUGAGGGUAUUGGAGCUUGAAUACGUAUCGGAUGCUACGUAACGAGUUUACAAGUAUUGAUGCUUCUUCGAUUAUUUAUUGAUAUAUGAAAGAAGAAAAACUCGGCAAACUUUGAGAAUUAUAAAAAAACAAUUUCAAUAAAUUUGUAGACACACAAGUCUAUGAGCCUAUUCGGUAGUGAUUAUGAGAAUUAAUUUUUUAACCGUGAGAGAGAAAAGUGAGUUCAACCUUUGAGAGAAGAAGUAAAAAAUGAUGGCUGAAGAUAGUGAAAUAAUGGUCAAAAAAUUAAUUUUUUUGGGUAAAAAAUUGCUACUAAACGAGGGCUAUAAUAAGCUUUGGAGGUUGAUAUAUUAGGAGAUAAGACUUCUCAGGGUAAAACUGUAUUGCGAAGAUCUAGAGUGAACUUAAAUAAGCUUUAUUUUUAUCUUUACUAUAUUUUCCUUUUUAUCAAUCUUUUUUUUUCAAUAUAUAAUUUUGGAGUAUCCUUUUUAAUUUUAUGGGUUAGAUAUUUAACAUAAAAGAUAAAAUAGUCGAUUUUGAUAGGGCAAUUAGCACAUAACAUUCUUACCUUUUAUUUUUUGGCAUUUUCACUCUCAUUUCCACAUUUCAAUGCGCAAAAGGUCAUUUUCAUCAAUUCUCUCAAUUAAAAGCUGUGAAACGACGAAUAUAUCAUUUUAUUCAAAUAAAAUAAAAAGAAAAAGAAAGAACUAAUUGCAAUCAUAGUCCUAGAUUUUUUUAAAAAGUGCAAGCGAGUCCCAAAUAAAUUAUUGAAAGAGUAAUUAGUGCAUAAUGUCCAUACCUUUCACUAUUAUUGUGAAAAAGUCCAUACCUUUCAUUUUUUUGACAUUUUCACCCUUACUUACACCUUUAAUUGCAUAAACCAUCAUUUCCAUCUAAUUUCUCAAUAAAAGAUGGGAAAUAAGAAAUAUACCCUCCUAAUUAUCCUUUUACUAAUCUGUUUGGGACUCGUUUUGCACUUUACUAUGGUUGCAAUUAGUUCUUUCUUUUUCUUUUUGUUUUAAAAAAAUAAAGGGUAUAUUUAUCUUUUCACAACUUUUAAUCGAGAAAAUGGAUGCAAAUGACUUUUUGCGCAAUAAGGGUGAAAAUGUCAAAAAUGAAAGGUAAGGAUGUUUUCUACAAUAAUAGUGAAUGGUAAAGACGUUAUGUGCUAAUUACCCAAUUUUGAUACAUGAAAUAUCAAACAGGGAUUCCCUUUUGAAGACUUCAUUGGCAAAUGUCGUAAAAAUAUAUGGAUUGACAUGGUUAUAAUUUCAGAUAUGAGAUAUUUUAGUAUGUACUGCGACAAUUAUUCUCAGACAUUAGGCUUGGAGCUAAACUAGUCGUUUUUAUCUGAAAGGAGAUUAUCACUCCACAUUUAGCAAUGGAUCUAAUGAGUUGGAUACAUUUUAAGUAGUUUGGCUCCUUCAUCUUCAUUAAAUUAGCGCUUGCCACAGUGGUGUCAGCAUUUAUGCUGGCCAUUAGAACAUAAUCCAUUAUCUAUUCACGAUACUAGAAAAAGUAAAGUGAACCAUGAUCUGUUGAAGGCCAGUUUCCUAUGAAUGCCUUGCAUGGCAAUGAUCCUUCAACAUAAGUGUCCAAGGUCACAUUUUCUAAAUUGAUAUUGUUACACAGUUUUAGUUUUUCAUAAGAAAUUUGCCUGACAGAUUGUAUGUUAAUGGAUUUUUUAUCAAGUUCUUUUAAUUUAUUUUCCUUGUAAAUUUACUCUUGCAGCUCUAUGUGCUCUUUACUGUUGUAGCUAUUAAUUACUGUGUCGUUUUGCAGUGUCAUCCUCUUCCCAAUAGCUAUCACAUUCUAUAUAACAUGGUGGUUUAUUCACUUUGUGGAUGGCUUUUUCUCACCAAUUUAUGCUCAGCUUGGAAUUGACAUCUUUGGUAAGCUUUUGACACCUUCACCUAAUGCCCAAAAGUACGAGUAUGUCCUUAAUUUUUGUUGUGUUAUAAUAGAAUUUCUCAAGCUGGAGCAUGUAGAAUUACAAAGAAAUUCAAGAAAAAUGUUAGUUGUGUUACUUUUGAAACUGUCAUAACUGUGAAUUCUCCUUACAGUUUAUUGAUUGUCAUGUCUGUUCUUUAUUUAUAAAAGUUCUGUAAGCUAACACUUGCUCCUACUCCUUGAUUUAGGUCUAGGAUUUGUUACUUCUAUUACAUUUAUUUUCUUGGUUGGAGUAUUCAUGUCAUCAUGGUUGGGGGCAUCUGUUUUGAGCCUUGGGGAGUGGUUCAUCAAGCGUAUGCCAUUUGUUCGUCAUAUUUACAGUGCCUCCAAGCAAAUUAGUUCUGCAAUAUCUCCAGGUUUGCUUUUAUUUAUUUAUUGAUUUUGACUAAUUUGGUUCUUCAUUUCAAUUUCCUCGUGCAUGGGUGAAUAGUUAUUCACAAUAUUAUUGCAGAUCAGAACACUCAGGCUUUCAAGGAAGUGGCCAUUAUAAGGCAUCCACGUAUUGGUGAAUAUGCGUUUGGCUUCAUCACUUCAUCUGUCACCCUCCAGGUUUGCCAUCACUUUCAUGGCUGAUGCCACCUUUUUCUAAGCUUAAAAAGAAGUGAACGUUAAUUUUAUGCUUCUUUUUCAAACUCGCAUAUUUUACAAACAAAACUUGCCAUAGAGCAGAUCACACGCUUUUAAAAAAAAAAAAAAAAGUAACUUUUAAGGCUUAGCAGACAUGCUCUAUAUCAUCUCCUCGAUUAGAAAAUCUGUUUGAACCUUUUCUUAAAAUAAUGCUAUUGCUGAUUUGGUUUUUGUUACACACUAAAUUUUUGUUAUCUGGUUCAUUGUCUUAUGCUGAAUCUUCAUGUAAAUAAAUCUUUUAUGUUGUUUUAGGAGAAACGACCUUGAAUAUUUGAUUUUAUGGUAUUCAAAAUGGUUUGAAGAUUCCACUUUUUGGCAUCAGUUUUUGGACAAUUCUAAAUAUUUAACUCCUUUUCCAUUUCUCUCGAAGCAACAAGCAUGCAUGUCCUAUUUGUAAAACGACAUUUAAGUAACAACAGGAUUGACCAAUCAAAUAUGCAAGAACAUUUUCACCUGUAAAAGAAGAGGCUGACUUUACAUUUGCUUGCUGGCUGCAUUAUAAUCUUGAUUUCGAUUUAGAAUUCUUUAUAUCUCUCUCAUUGCAGAAUUAUGCGGCAGAAGAAGAGCUAUGCUGUGUGUAUGUCCCAACAAACCAUCUAUACAUCGGUGACAUCUUUUUGGUCAAUGCCAAUGAUGUUAUAAGACCAAACUUGUCUGUCCGGGAAGGAAUUGGUAAGAGUUCCGCUUCUUUACUCACCAUGAUUACACUCUCUUCGUUUAAAGGAUGUACCUUAAUUAUUUUCCUCCUAAUGACUUUUUACCUUCGAACAAAUAAGCGUUCACUACAAUUCCACCUUCACGCACUAGCCACAUAUUAUAUCAAGAUUCUUCACUUAAUGUUGUUCUCUGUGUGUAACUGAUACUAUAUAUAAAUAUUAUCUGCCGACUUUUUACUUUGUUCCUUGCUCACAGAAAUUGUUGUAUCGGGUGGCAUGUCAAUGCCCCAAAUACUCUCUACCUUGGAUCCAAGAACUAUUCAGGUGGAUAGGAAUAGAUCUAACAGAAGCUGAGAUUGAAGACAUCAGAUGCAGCUGGUCGGAUUUCUCUAUACCUUUCUGUAUUGCAGAUUAAGUCGAUGAAUGGUAUGAGCACACAAUUCGCUUGUUUCGGCAUCUAAUCUGCAAUUAAUAUUUAAAUUAUUUUAAUUUUUCAAGUGUUAGAUUAUAAUCACAUGAUGUCCUAGUGUACAAUGUGGGGAAGUAGCAGUUGUGGAAAUAUAGUUUGCUAUGUUUUACGUAUUAAAAGAUUUAGUUGUUUAAGGUUAAAAGGAUCGUGUACUAAUGAGUUAGAAUUUAGUAACUUUUUCAUGAGCCUUGUGACACUCUUUUUGCAAUUAUAGUAAUGGUGGAUUCUUCGAUCCAUCUUCAUUAUCAAAUGUACUGACUGGUAUUA